UAUGAGGACAGUAACAGGGCUGAUAUGAGGACAGUAACAGGUUUUCAUGGGGCUGAUAUGAGGACAGUAACAGGUUUUCAUGGGGCUGAUAUGAGGACAGUGACAGGUUUUCAUGGGGCUGAUAUGAGGACAAUAACAGGGCUGAUAUGAGGACAGUAACAGGUUUUCAUGGGGCUGAUAUGAGGACAGUAACAGGUUUUCAUGGGGCUGAUAUGAGGACAGUAACAGGUUUUCAUGGGGCUGAUAUGAGGACAGUAACAGGUUUUCAUGGGGCUGAUAUGAGGACAGUAACAGGUUUUCAUGGGGCUGAUAUGAGGACAGUAACAGGUUUUCAUGGGGCUGAUAUGAGGACAGUAACAGGUUUUCAUGGGGCUGAUAUGAGGACAGUAACAGGUUUUCAUGAUGCUGAUAUGAGGACAGUAACAGGUUUUCAUGGGGCUGAUAUGAGGACAGUAACAGGGCUGAUAUGAGGACAGUAACAGGUUUUCAUGGGGCUGAUAUGAGGACAGUAACAGGUUUUCAUGGGGCUGAUAUGAGGACAGUAACAGGUUUUCAUGGGGCUGAUAUGAGGACAGUAACAGGUUUUCAUAAUGCUGAUAUGAGGACAGUAACAGGUUUUCAUGGGGCUGAUAUGAGGACAGUGACAGGUUUUCAUGGGGCUGAUAUGAGGACAGUGACAGGUUUUCAUGGGGCUGAUAUGAGGACAGUAACAGGUUUUCAUGGGGCUGAUAUGAGGACAGUAACAGGUUUUCAUGGGGCUGAUAUGAGGACAGUAACAGGUUUUCAUGGGGCUGAUAUGAGGACAGUAACAGGUUUUCAUGGGGCUGAUAUGAGGACAGUAACAGGUUUUCAUGGGGCUGAUAUGAGGACAGUAACAGGGCUGAUAUGAGGACAGUAACAGGUUUUCAUGAUGCUGAUAUGAGGACAGUAACAGGUUUUCAUGAUGCUGAUAUGAGGACAGUAACAGGUUUUCAUGGGGCUGAUAUGAGGACAGUAACAGGUUUUCAUGGGGCUGAUAUGAGGACAGUAACAGGUUUUCAUGAUGCUGAUAUGAGGACAGUAACAGGUUUUCAUGGGGCUGAUAUGAGGACAGUAACAGGUUUUCAUGGGGCUGAUAUGAGGACAGUAACAGGUUUUCAUGAUGCUGAUAUGAGGACAGUAACAGGUUUUCAUGGGGCUGAUAUGAGGACAGUAACAGGUUUUCAUGGGGCUGAUAUGAGGACAGUAACAGGGCUGAUAUGAGGACAGUAACAGGUUUUCAUGAUGCUGAUAUGAGGACAGUAACAGGGCUGAUAUGAGGACAGUAACAGGUUUUCAUGAUGCUGAUAUGAGGACAGUAACAGGUUUUCAUGAUGCUGAUAUGAGGACAGUAACAGGUUUUCAUGAUGCUGAUAUGAGGACAGUAACAGGUUUUCAUGGGGCUGAUAUGAGGACAGUAACAGGGCUGAUAUGAGGACAGUAACAGGUUUUCAUGGUGCUGAUAUGAGGACAGUAACAGGGCUGAUAUGAGGACAGUAACAGGUUUUCAUGGGGCUGAUAUGAGGACAGUGGCAGGUUUUCAUGGGGCUGAUAUGAGGACAGUAACAGGUUUUCAUGGGGCUGAUAUGAGGACAGUAACAGGUUUUCAUGGGGCUGAUAUGAGGACAGUGACAGGUUUUCAUGGGGCUGAUAUGAGGACAGUAACAGGUUUUCAUGGGGCUGAUAUGAGGACAGUGGCAGGUUUUCAUGGGGCUGAUAUGAGGACAGUAACAGGUUUUCAUGGGGCUGAUAUGAGGACAGUAACAGGUUUUCAUGAUGCUGAUAUGAGGACAGUAACAGGGCUGAUAUGAGGACAGUAACAGGGCUGAUAUGAGGACAGUAACAGGUUUUCAUGGGGUUGAUAUGAGGACAGUAACAGGUUUUCAUGGGGCUGAUAUGAGGACAGUAACAGGUUUUCAUGAUGCUGAUAUGAGGACAGUAACAGGUUUUCAUGGGGCUGAUAUGAGGACAGUAACAGGUUUUCAUGGGUCUGAUAUGAGGACAGUAACAGGUUUUCAUGGGGCUGAUAUGGGGGUGAAAAUGGAAAUCUUUGCUCUCCCUCUAGUGGUGUUGAAUGUUAUUACACGUUUUAUGAAUGAUAGAAUUGAAUUUUGCCAUCUGCUGUGUGUGUGCCUGUGUGUGUGUGUGUGUG